CCUAAAAGUUCUUUAACAUAGUGCUUAAUUUUGAAAUGUUUCAAUUUUUCUCAUUUAAACUAUUAUUCAUUCCAAUUUUAUCUGCAUAAGUUGAAUUGUGUCCCCAAAGAUGUCAAAGUCCUUGCCCUCAGUACCUGUAAAUGUGAUCCUAUUGUGGGGGUGUGGGGCAGUCAAAUUGUAGAUGUAAUUAGUUAAAAUGAGGUCAUACUGGAGUAAGGUGGGCCCCAAUCCAAUGACUGGUGUCUUUAUAAAAAGGGGAAAUGUGCGCACAGGAAAAACACCAGGUGAAAAUUGGAGUUCUGCUACCACAAGCCAAGAACUACCAGAAGUUAGGAGAGAGGCUUGGAACAAACCUUUCCAUAGAGCCUUCAGAGGGAGCAGGGCUCUGCGAACACUUGACCUCAAACUUCAAUUCUCCAGAACUAUGAGCACCACCGUCCUAGACCCUCAUCAUCUCACAGCUGGAUGAAGUUUCCACACUACCCGUCAGAUGAUGAUGAUCAGUGCACUAGGCCCCAACAGGCCUGCCUUCCCUCAGCCAACCAUGAACACCUGCCACAUGCUGCACACUGGAAAAGAAGAGAAAGUGCAGCUCCUACAUUUGAAGAGCUCAUGGUUUGGCAAGGAAAAACUAAGCAGUAUGUGUUAAGCAAGCACACAAGAAACACUUUGAGGAUCAGAAAAUGUUCAGGAAUGCUCUGAUGCUUGAACUGAGAUAUUUAGAGUAAAAGGGUAAAAAAAGAGCACCUCCUGUAAAUAUGUGAAAGCCAUUCCAGUUAGGAGGAACAAAGGGUAGAAAUACAAAGGGUGUGGCACAUUUGGGGAGUGUGUACAAUAACUGAUUGGAGUUAUCUGGAACCUGGAAUGCACUGGGGAAAGUCAAGAAGAGGUCAGUGGCAUGAGGUGAGACAGGCUGGGGUCACUUCACAAGAGUGCCUAUAUGUAUAUCUUGUAAGUAACAAGGAACUGUUGAAAUAUUGUAACCAGAGGAAUAAAAAUGAGUGACUUAGUAAAUUCAUACUAGAGAUAGUGGGCAGGACAGAUGGAAUGAAAGGAACCUAAAAAGCUACUGAGUGCAGGUUUUGGAGUCCCAGAAC